rnacentral:lncRNA from 1 species
CUCAAAUGCAUUGUAGCCGAUUUUACUUUGGAACUACUUUUCUCCCCCUUUAGGAAUUUGUUUUGUUUUAGAAAAUGUGAGUGGUUACGUUCUCCCUCCAGUCGGAUCAAAAAUUCAGCUCCUCCUCCCGGCCCGGUGCACUCACCGCCUAAUUCCACCUUUUUAAAAAAAUCUUGAAGUUCUCUCCCUAAUGGAACAGUUUAAACCCCCUACCCUAAACCUUUUGUUUUUCUAAAAGCCAGCAUUUGUAAAGGCAAAAAGGACGAAAGAAGAGAUGUAUCGCGUGUUUCUUAACCAUUUUUUUCUUUUUGCUUCUUUAUUUUUUUCAGGCACGUAAGAUCUGGAAACUACCAUACAGUCCCUACCUUGAUCCUAACACAGAGAAGACCAAGUUCAACCACUAUUUAAAAUUCACCACCCUGAGUGUCGCCCCCUCGCUUGCGCUGCCCUUCCCGCGGGCAGGCCCAGACUGGGCCCCCGGCCCCGGCCAAAGGCAGCUCCCUUGAUUUGCGGGAUCUUCCGCCGGGCGCGGCCCGAGGCGAAGCGAAGCGAACCCAGCACUUCGCGAAGGCGACCGCACACCCUGGAGAAGGUAGGGGACAGGCUGCUCCAGCUAAAGCAGCGCCCGAGGUGGCAGAGUCGUCCUUUCCCGGGCCACUCAGACCACUCCAGCGGAAGAAGCACACAGUACCGGACUGAGGAGAGACUGGCCAGGGCUGGGUUGGGGAACACUUCGGGCUCCCCAAGAAGGGCCACCUUCAACUCCUGCCUGGCGUUCCUGACUUCUCUCUAGCAAAUAAAGCAGGACCCCCACCACCACCACCAAAAAAAAGUUGUCUGAAGUCUCUGAAGUAGGCUCCCUGUGCCGCGUCCUCCUCAGCGCUGGGGGAAAAGGGAAGGGCCACUUGU